rnacentral:snRNA from 1 species
CAAGAGUUACAACUUUUUUU